AUUGAACGCUGGCGGCAGGCCUAACACAUGCAAGUCGAACGAGUGGCGGACGGGUGAGUAAUGUCUGGGAAACUGCCUGAUGGAGGGGGAUAACUACUGGAAACGGUAGCUAAUACCGCAUACCAUCGGAUGUGCCCAGAUGGGAUUAGCUAGUAGGUGGGGUAAAGGCUCACCUAGGCGACGAUCCCUAGCUGGUCUGAGAGGAUGACCAGCCACAAUGGAACGGAGAGACAGUACAGACGCCUACGUGAGGCAGAGGUAGGGAAGAUUGGACAAUGGGCGCAAGGCUGAGGUAGCCAUGCCGCGUGUAUGAAGAAGGCCAUCGGGUUGUAAAGUACUUUCAGCGGGGAGGCGUUACCCGCAGAAGAAGCACCGGCUAACGCCGUGCCAGCAGCCGCGAUAAUAC
rnacentral:rRNA from 1 species